UACCAGAUCCCAGCAGACUGAUGCCCUGUGGUGGCUUGGAGCUGCCUUUCACCCAUCUGCUUUCUGCGGAAAGGCUCAAGGAUUCACUUUGGAUGAGUCCAAACCAGAUGGGAUGAGAGCAAUCACAAAGAUGUAUGGACCAAGGUGUGAAAAGGAAUGCUGAGUACUGAAGAGCUUGCUGAAAUGGGUCCAAAGCACCAGAAUGACGAGGACGGGAGAGGCAUUUUGAUAUCACAAUUAGAGAAAAUUUGCUCCAGGGCCUCUAAGGAAAUCUCAUAAAACUUUGGAACGCUGAGUAUGCCAAUGUCACAGCCCAUGAGAUGGUAGGAGCAUCGUCAAUGCAAACCAAGAUGGGGCUCUUAACUGAAGACUGACCUUGAACGCUGAAGUAAUAGAAAAGGCACAAAAUGCACUAGUU